GAAAAAGUCAUUUUUUUAAAGGUAAAAUCGAAAAUCAACUUUUUUUAACCUUAACAUUGAAAUCGAACAUACAAAAUGUAUUUGCACGAGGUCAAUAUAUCUAUGUUUAUUGAUGUUUAUGUGACCGUCGGUUGUUUUCUUGGUUACAUCAAUAGUUAAUUAGAUGGCGCCUAUAUACUAAAAUACACACGUAACGAAUCUACAUAUUAUCAAGCUCAUGCACUGCAAAUUGUUUAUUUUAAACUUUAUAAUUUGGAUAAAUGUGUUACCCUGUUAUGAAUAUAAUGUGAUAAUUUGAGUCAAAUCGUUGAACAUGCAUUUGACAGCUAGUGCCCCUUUAAUAUUUUUUAUUCAUUUAGACGUCCGACAGACAUUUGUCAUAGUUUUAAAAC
rnacentral:lncRNA from 1 species